rnacentral:rRNA from 1 species
GGGUCAGUAGGUUGGUCGUGCCACCGGUACGUACUGGUCUCACUGAUUCCUCCUUCCUGAAGAACCGUAAUGCCAUUAAUUUGGUGUUGCGGGGAAACAGGACUGUUACUUUGAAAAAAUUAGAGUGUUUAAAGCAAGCUAACGCUUGAAUACAUUAGCAUGGAAUAAUGAAAUAGGACGAUCGAUCCUAUUUUGUUGGUUUCUAGGAUUGACGUAAUGAUUAAUUAGGGAUAGUUGAG